UACAGAGGUCCCAAGCGUUGUUCGGAUUCACUGGGCGUAAAGGGUGCGUAGGUGGCUUGGUAAGUUUGAUGUGAAAUCUCCGGGCUUAACCCGGAAAUGGCAUUGAAUACUAUUGAGCUGGAGGUUUGGAGGGGGGACUGGAAUUCUCGGUGUAGCAGUGAAAUGCGUAGAUAUCGAGAGGAACACCAGUGGCGAAGGCGGGUCUCUGGACAGUUCCUGACGCUGAGGCAAGAAGGCCAGGGGAGCAAACGGG
rnacentral:rRNA from 1 species